rnacentral:tRNA from 3 species
ACCUCCUCAGUAUUUGAAGUACAAUUGCCUUCCAAGCAAUAAGAUUAAAUAAACUUAAAGGAAGUA